AGGGAAGUCCCAGUAUGCUGAUUUAUAUUCUGCCACUGUUCUUUAUGUUGAUGUGGAUCUAUAACUUACAGUUCCCAAAGGGACCUCAAGUUGGAACCAUGGUUGCCUCUUUGGCCCUUUGAGCCUCUUGCUGGUACAGGAAGCUGUUGGCCUCUGUGACUGGGAUGAUGAGGUGUAAGCUCUGAGUCAGCGGUGCUGAUGCAAUGCCAUAUUAAGCCUUCAUGAAGUGGAACAG